UGCAUCGGCCGGGAAUCGAACCCGGGCACCCGCGUGGCAGGCGAGCAUUCUACCACUGAACCACCGAUGG
rnacentral:tRNA from 1 species